rnacentral:rRNA from 1 species
UUACACAUGCAAGUCGAACGNNGAUGCCCACUUGUGGGUGGAUUAGUGGCGAACGGGUGAGUAACACGUGAGUAACCUGCCCUUAACUCUGGGAUAAGCCUGGGAAACUGGGUCUAAUACCGGAUAUGACUCCUCAUCGCAUGGUGGGGGGUGGAAAGCUUUUUGUGGUUUUGGAUGGACUCGCGGCCUAUCAGCUUGUUGGUGAGGUAAUGGCUCACCAAGGCGACGACGGGUAGCCGGCCUGAGAGGGUGACCGGCCACACUGGGACUGAGACACGGCCCAGACUCCUACGGGAGGCAGCAGUGGGGAAUAUUGCACAAUGGGCGAAAGCCUGAUGCAGCGACGCCGCGUGAGGGAUGACGGCCUUCGGGUUGUAAACCUCUUUCAGUAGGGAAGAAGCGAAAGUGACGGUACCUGCAGAAGAAGCGCCGGCUAACUACGUGCCAGCAGCCGCGGUAAUACGUAGGGCGCAAGCGUUAUCCGGAAUUAUUGGGCGUAAAGAGCUCGUAGGCGGUUUGUCGCGUCUGCCGUGAAAGUCCGGGGCUCAACUCCGGAUCUGCGGUGGGUACGGGCAGACUAGAGUGAUGUAGGGGAGACUGGAAUUCCUGGUGUAGCGGUGAAAUGCGCAGAUAUCAGGAGGAACNNNNAUGGCGAAGGCAGGUCUCUGGGCAUUAACUGACGCUGAGGAGCGAAAGCAUGGGGAGCGAACAGGAUUAGAUACCNCUGGGUAGUCCAUGCCGUAAACGUUGGGCACUANGUGUGGGGG